rnacentral:rRNA from 1 species
UACGUAGGUGGCAAGCGUUGUCCGGAUUUAUUGGGUUUAAAGGGUGCGUAGGCGGCCCUGUAAGUCAGUGCUGAAAUAUCCCAGCUUAACUGGGAGGUGGCAUUGAUACUGCGGGCUAGAGUACAGAUGAGGUAGGCGGAAUUGACGGUGUAGCGGUGAAAUGCUUAGAUAUCGUCAAGAACACCGAUAGCGAAGGCAGCUUACUGGGCUGUAACUGACGCUGAGGCACGAAAGUGUGGGGAUCAAACAGG